rnacentral:lncRNA from 1 species
UUCAUUAAUUUCCAUACUAAUGAGGUAUUUCUUGUUUGUGUAUGCGCAACUCAGGAUCGACAUUGACACUCUUUGAUCCAGAAAUUGAAAGAACUAUAUGUGCUAACAGGAGAACAGCUAGAGAAGAAACUCUAGCUCAAAGGAUCUUAAUAGAAGACAACCCACUAAUUUCUUUGGACGUUGAAGAAGAGAUCACCAUGGAAGUCGUACCACCACCCACUAUGGGGGACUAUUGUAAAAG